GACGUAGGAUGCGAGCGUUGUCCGGAUUUAUUGGGCGUAAAGAGUUCGUAGGUGGUUUGUUAAGUCUGGUGUUAAAGAUCGGGGCCCAACCCCGGGACAGCACUGGAUACUGGCAGACUGGAGUGCAGUAGAGGCAAGCGGAAUUCCCAGUGUAGCGGUGAAAUGCGUAGAUAUUGGGAAGAACACCGGUGGCGUAAGCGGCUUGCUGGGCUGUAACUGACACUGAGGAACGAAAGCCAGGGUAGCGAAUGGG
rnacentral:rRNA from 1 species